GUCGAGCGAACAGACGAGGAGCUUGCUCCUCUGACGUUAGCGGCGGACGGGUGAGUAACACGUGGAUAACCUACCUAUAAGACUGGGAUAACUUCGGGAAACCGGAGCUAAUACCGGAUAAUAUAUUGAACCGCAUGGUUCAAUAGUGAAAGACGGUUUUGCUGUCACUUAUAGAUGGAUCCGCGCCGCAUUAGCUAGUUGGUAAGGUAACAGCUUACCAAGGCAACGAUGCGUAGCCGACCUGAGAGGGUGAUCGGCCACACUGGAACUGAGACACGGUCCAGACUCCUACGGGAGGCAGCAGUAGGGAAUCUUCCGCAAUGGGCGAAAGCCUGACGGAGCAACGCCGCGUGAGUGAUGAAGGUCUUCGGAUCGUAAAACUCUGUUAUUAGGGAAGAACAAAUGUGUAAGUAACUAUGCACGUCUUGACGGUACCUAAUCAGAAAGCCACGGCUAACUACGUGCCAGCAGCCGCGGUAAUACGUAGGUGGCAAGCGUUAUCCGGAAUUAUUGGGCGUAAAGCGCGCGUAGGCGGUUUUUUAAGUCUGAUGUGAAAGCCCACGGCUCAACCGUGGAGGGUCAUUGGAAACUGGAAAACUUGAGUGCAGAGGAGGAAAGUGGAAUUCCAUGUGUAGCGGUGAAAUGCGCAGAGAUAUGGAGGAACACCAGUGGCGAAGGCGACUUUCUGGUCUGUAACUGACGCUGAUGUGCGAAAG
rnacentral:rRNA from 1 species